UACGGGGGGGGCAAGCGUUGUUCGGAAUUACUGGGCGUAAAGGGCUCGUAGGCGGCCAACUAAGUCAGACGUGAAAUCCCUCGGCUUAACCGGGGAACUGCGUCUGAUACUGGAUGGCUUGAGUUUGGGAGAGGGAUGCGGAAUUCCAGGUGUAGCGGUGAAAUGCGUAGAUAUCUGGAGGAAUACCGGUGGCGAAGGCGGCAUCCUGGACCGGCAUUGACGCUGAACAGCGAAAGCUAGGGGAGCAAACGGG
rnacentral:rRNA from 1 species